rfam:Picea glauca, whole genome shotgun sequence.
AUGUACAUGCCUAUAGCAUAGCGUUAAUGCACCAGAUCCCAUUAGAACUCUGCAGUUAAACACGCUUAGGCUAGAGUAGUACUGGGAUGGGUGACUGUCUGGGAAGCCCUUGUAUUGUACAUG